CGUGGGUAACCUGCCCAUCAGAGGGGGAUAACAUUCGGAAACGGAAUGCUAAAACCGCAUAGGUCUUCGAACCGCAUGGUUUGAAGAGGAAAAGAGGCGCAAGCUUCUGCUGAUGGAUGGACCCGCGGUGCAUUAGCUAGUUGGUGAGAUAACGGCUCACCAAGGCCGUGAUGCAUAGCCGACCUGAGAGGGUGAUCGGCCACAUUGGGACUGAGACACGGCCCAA
rnacentral:rRNA from 1 species